rnacentral:snRNA from 1 species
AUACUUACCUGGCAGGGGAGACACCAUGAUCAAUCAGGUGGUCAGGUGGUUUUCCCAGGUGGUUGUCUCUGACAUGUCCCCCAUAGGAGGUCUAUAUUGAGCAGAUUUUUUUUGGUGUUGGGUGGUGGAACCGGAGCUUGCUCCAUCCACUC